GAUGAAGAACGCAGCAAAAUGCGAUAAGUAAUGUGAAUUGCAGAAUUCAGUGAAUCAUCGAAUCUUUAAACGCACAUUGCGCCCGCCAGUAUUCUGGCGGGCAUGCCUGUUCGAGCGUCAUUUCAACCCUCAAGCACAGCUUGGUGUUGGGACUCGCGUUAAUUCGCGUUCCCCAAAUUGAUUGGCGGUCACGUCGAGCUUCCAUAGCGUAGUAGUAAAACCCUCGUUACUGGUAAUCGUCGCGGCCACGCCGUUAAACCCCAACUUCUGAAUGUUGACCUCGGAUCAGGUAGGAAUACCCGCUGAACUUAAGCAUAUCAAUAAGCGGAGGA
rnacentral:misc_RNA from 1 species